rnacentral:rRNA from 1 species
CCUACGGGAGGCAGCAGUGAGGAAUAUUGGUCAAUGGGCGUAAGCCUGAACCAGCCAAGUCGCGUGAGGGAUGAAGGUUCUAUGGAUCGUAAACCUCUUUUAUAAGGGAAUAAAGUGUGGGACGUGUCCUGUUUUGUAUGUACCUUAUGAAUAAGGAUCGGCUAACUCCGUGCCAGCAGCCGCGGUAAUACGGAGGAUCCGAGCGUUAUCCGGUUUUAUUGGGUUUAAAGGGUGCGUAGGCGGCCUUUUAAGUCAGCGGUGAAAGUCUGUGGCUCAACCAUAGAAUUGCCGUUGAAACUGGGAGGCUUGAGUAUGUUUGAGGCAGGCGGAAGGCGUGGUGUAGCGGUGAAAUGCUUAGAUAUCACGCAGAACCCCGAUUGCGAAGGCAGCCUGCCAAGCCAUGACUGACGCUGAUGCACGAAAGCGUGGGGAUCAAACAGGAUUAGAUACCCGGGUAGUC